AGAGUUUGAUCAUGGCUCAGAUUGAACGCUGGCGGCAGGCCUAACACAUGCAAGUCGAGCGGUAGCACAGAGAGCUUGCUCUCGGGUGACGAGCGGCGGACGGGUGAGUAAUGUCUGGGAAACUGCCUGAUGGAGGGGGAUAACUACUGGAAACGGUAGCUAAUACCGCAUAACGUCGCAAGACCAAAGUGGGGGACCUUCGGGCCUCAUGCCAUCAGAUGUGCCCAGAUGGGAUUAGCUAGUAGGUGGGGUAAUGGCUCACCUAGGCGACGAUCCCUAGCUGGUCUGAGAGGAUGACCAGCCACACUGGAACUGAGACACGGUCCAGACUCCUACGGGAGGCAGCAGUGGGGAAUAUUGCACAAUGGGCGCAAGCCUGAUGCAGCCAUGCCGCGUGUGUGAAGAAGGCCUUCGGGUUGUAAAGCACUUUCAGCGGGGAGGAAGGCGUUAAGGUUAAUAACCUUGGCGAUUGACGUUACCCGCAGAAGAAGCACCGGCUAACUCCGUGCCAGCAGCCGCGGUAAUACGGAGGGUGCAAGCGUUAAUCGGAAUUACUGGGCGUAAAGCGCACGCAGGCGGUCUGUCAAGUCGGAUGUGAAAUCCCCGGGCUCAACCUGGGAACUGCAUUCGAAACUGGCAGGCUAGAGUCUUGUAGAGGGGGGUAGAAUUCCAGGUGUAGCGGUGAAAUGCGUAGAGAUCUGGAGGAAUACCGGUGGCGAAGGCGGCCCCCUGGACAAAGACUGACGCUCAGGUGCGAAAGCGUGGGGAGCAAACAGGAUUAGAUACCCUGGUAGUCCACGCCGUAAACGAUGUCGAUUUGGAGGUUGUGCCCUUGAGGCGUGGCUUCCGGAGCUAACGCGUUAAAUCGACCGCCUGGGGAGUACGGCCGCAAGG
rnacentral:rRNA from 1 species